GUCUUGUCCAGUGAAAAGUGCUUUUCCAGGAAAUUGCCAUACUUUAAGCAAACAGUUAUUGUGGUGUCUUACAAAAUGAAAUGGGAGAAAUUGCCACACAUUCAGCACAAAAUUAUUAUGGCAUCUUGCAAAAUGUAGUGGAAAUGAAGCUAAAUAACUGAGCUGCCUCCAGGGAACCGCUCUCCCAGUGUGAAAAAUCUGUUACAUGGAUUACAUAGUUGAAGUCCAAUGUUUGCUUUUGAGCAAGAAUAGAAAAACUGAGGUAUUAGAUAUAUAUGGCUUGAAUUCUCCCAGGCACAGGCAAAGGAUGAUGAGAAGAAAAAGAGAAAAAUUAAAAGAAAAUGCUACGGUUCUCUACUGUAAAAUCCUAGGCAAAGAAGGAAGAAACUCAUAUUCAUGUAACUGAAGACUUUGUGGCAAUGUUUUAACUUUUAACAAGGUACAUUGAAAGACUUUUGAAUAGAGGAGAAUUUUAAA